rnacentral:rRNA from 1 species
UUUUACGGAGAGUUUGAUCCUGGCUCAGGACGAACGCUGGCGGCGUGCUUAACACAUGCAAGUCGAACGCUGAAGCUCGGAGCUUGCUCUGGGUGGAUGAGUGGCGAACGGGUGAGUAACACGUGAGUAACCUGCCCCGAACUCUGGGAUAAGCGCUGGAAACGGUGUCUAAUACUGGAUAUGCACCAUAGCCGCAUGGCUUGUGGUGGGAAAGAUUUAUCGGUUCGGGAUGGACUCGCGGCCUAUCAGCUUGAUGGUGAGGUAAUGGCUCACCAUGGCGACGACGGGUAGCCGGCCUGAGAGGGUGACCGGCCACACUGGGACUGAGACACGGCCCAGACU